AGCCGAUUUACUAGCAGCCGGGCCGGGCCGACCCAGCCCUGAAGACAGCAAGUAGGCAUUCAGAUUGAUCUCCGCCUUUCGAGAAUCGAGGGGGUGUCUCCGGUUUGGGCACGGUGAGUUCCCGACUAAUCUGGUUAGGAGGUAUACGAACGGGAUUGGCUCGUUCGGGUUCCCCGAGGUCUUCUGGAUGAAUGAGGAGGAGGACAGUGAUCCGAUGGACCUGCGUUCUUCUGCUGGCUACAGGAUGGAGGGCAGAGUCGCAUCGCUAGCAUGGAAAGUUCUCAUCGAUCCCCACGGCGCAGCCUAGUUCCCUAGAGGAAGCAAGUUCUGGUUUCGCGACUCGUAACCAAAUCUCAAACAGUUUAGGGAGUUCGAGUGGUGAAGCCAAUGCAUAGCUACCAGUAAGAGAACUACAAGCAUGUCUGGAGAAGGAAAUCACUAGAACAGUUCCGAUAGUAGAAGAGUCUUCUCUGGACAUGGAUGAGUCCGUACAUAACCUUGGGCAGAGGUCAAGUGAAUCAACUCAGGCAGGCUGAUCCUUCGGAAAGAUUCAUAGUAUGUACUGUAGUGAACAUGGAUCAUUCUUAUGAGAGUCGUUUCUACCUUCAUAUCCUGUUUUUUGGAGUAUAUUUUUUACUCAAACUAAUGGCCAGGUGGGGCUUCCGCUUGAAUAGACAUUGUACAUCUAGAUGGAAUCAGUGGACUUUCAGGGAUAGGAAGGCAUACUUACGGCUAGGCUCAUAAAGUUGGCCAUUGAGAUAAGCCUGCUCUUGAACUGAGGAGAGUCUACUGAGUAGCAGGUGUGGUGCUGCAAUGGCAAUUAAGAUACAACUGUUACAAUGCCACCUUCAAUGAAACAAAAUUUGCUACUUUCUGAACACACAAGAUUAAGCGGUCGAUCAUCCAAGCACUGACAGGCGAUAUUCAGAUAUCUGAAGAGCUCAGGUACCUCAGAUUUUGUCUUCAUCAAGUCAGGAUCAAAGACUUCACUGUACCUGUUCUCUUUCACCAAUUGCUUAGCCCAGCCAACAA